rnacentral:rRNA from 1 species
UACAGAGGGGGCAAGCGUUGUUCGGAAUUACUGGGCGUAAAGGGCGCGUAGGCGGCCCGCCAAGUCGAACGUGAAAUCCCCGAGCUCAACUCGGGAACUGCGUCCGAUACUGGCGGGCUUGAAUCCGGGAGAGGGAGGCGGAAUUCCAGGUGUAGCGGUGAAAUGCGUAGAUAUCGGGAGGAACACCAGUGGCGAAGGCGGCCUUCUGGAAUGCAUCUGACGCUCAGACACGAAAGCUAGGGGAGCGAACGGG